UACGUAGGGGGCUAGCGUUGUCCGGAAUCAUUGGGCGUAAAGAGCGCGUAGGCGGCCAGAUAAGUCCGGUGUGAAAGUCAAAGGCUCAACCUUUGAAUGCCGCUGGAAACUGUCUGGCUAGAGUCCGGAAGAGGAGAGUGGAAUUCCCGGUGUAGCGGUGAAAUGCGCAGAUAUCGGGAAGAACACCCGUGGCGAAGGCGGCUCUCUGGGACGGUACUGACGCUGAGACGCGAAAGCGUGGGGAGCGAACAGG
rnacentral:rRNA from 1 species